GACGAACGCUGGCGGCGUGCCUAAUACAUGCAAGUAGAACGCUGAAGAGAGGAGCUUGCUCUUCUUGGAUGAGUUGCGAACGGGUGAGUAACGCGUAGGUAACCUGCCUUGUAGCGGGGGAUAACUAUUGGAAACGAUAGCUAAUACCGCAUAACAAUGGAUGACACAUGUCAUUUAUUUGAAAGGGGCAAUUGCUCCACUACAAGAUGGACCUGCGUUGUAUUAGCUAGUAGGUGAGGUAAUGGCUCACCUAGGCGACGAUACAUAGCCGACCUGAGAGGAUGGUGAGCCACACGGGAACUGAGAAACGGGCCGGACCCCUCCGGGAGGCAGCAGUGGGGAAUAUUGGACAGUGGGCGCAAGCCGAAUCCAGCCAUACCGCGUGGGUGAAGAAGGCAUUCGGGUUGUAAAGCCCUUUUGUUGGGAAAGAAAAGAAGCAGGUUAAUACCCCGAUGUUCUGACGGUACCCAAAGAAUAAGAACCGGCUAACUUAGUG
rnacentral:rRNA from 1 species